UACAGAGGUCCCAAGCGUUGUUCGGAUUCACUGGGCGUAAAGGGUGCGUAGGUGGCCUAAAAAGUUUGAUGUGAAAGCUCAGGGCUUAACCCUGAAAUGGCAUUGAAUACUGUUGGGCUGGAGGUUUGGAGGGGGGACUGGAAUUCGUUGGGUGUAGCAGUGAAAUGCGUAGAUAUCAGGAGGAACACCGGUGGCGAAGGCGGGUCUCUGGGC
rnacentral:rRNA from 1 species